GUUGGGUAGGGGAGCGUUCUGUAAGCCUGCGAAGGUGUACUGUGAGGUAUGCUGGAGGUAUCAGAAGUGCGAAUGCUGACAUAAGUAACGAUAAUGCGGGUGAAAAACCCGCACGCCGGAAGACCAAGGGUUCCUGUCCAACGUUAAUCGGGGCAGGGUGAGUCGACCCCUAAGGCGAGGCUGAAAAGCGUAGUCGAUGGGAAACGGGUUAAUAUUCCCGUACUGGUGGUAACUGCGAUGGGGGAACGGAGAAGGCUAGGUUGUCCGGGCGACGGUCGUCCCGGUUCAAGCAGGUAGGCAGAGUGAUUAGGCAAAUCCGGUCACUUAAUGCUGAGAUGUGAUGACGAACCACUAAGGUGGUGAAGCAAUUGAUGCCCCGCUUCCAGGAAAAGCCUCUAAGCUUCAGGUUACCAACAAUCGUACCCCAAACCGACACAGGUGGUCAGGUAGAGAAUACUCAGGCGCUUGAGAGAACUCGGGUGAAGGAACUAGGCAAAAUGGUGCCGUAACUUCGGGAGAAGGCACGCUGGCGGUAGGUAAAGUCCCUUGCGGACGGCGCUGAAGCCAGUCGAAGAUACCAGCUGGCUGCAACUGUUUAUUAAAAACACAGCACUGUGCAAACACGAAAGUGGACGUAUACGGUGUGACGCCUGCCCGGUGCUGGAAGGUUAAUUGAUGGGGUCAGCCGUAAGGCGAAGCUCCUGAUCGAAGCCCCAGUAAACGGCGGCCGUAACUAUAACGGUCCUAAGGUAGCGAAAUUCCUUGUCGGGUAAGUUCCGACCUGCACGAAUGGCGUAAUGAUGGCCAGGCUGUCUCCACCCGAGACUCAGUGAAAUUGAACUCGCUGUGAAGAUGCAGUGUACCCGCGGCAAGACGGAAAGACCCCGUGAACCUUUACUAUAGCUUGACACUGAACAUUGAGCCUUGAUGUGUAGGAUAGGUGGGAGGCUUUGAAGUGUGGACGCCAGUCUGCAUGGAGCCAACCUUGAAAUACCACCCUUUAACGUUUGAUGUUCUAACCUAGGCCCAUAAACUGGGUCGGGGACCGUGUCUGGUGGGUAGUUUGACUGGGGCGGUCUCCUCCUAAAGAGUAACGGAGGAGCACGAAGGUUGGCUAAGCAUGGUCGGACAUCAUGCGGUUAGUGCAAAGGCAUAAGCCAGCUUGACUGCGAGAGUGACGGCUCGAGCAGGUACGAAAGUAGGUCUUAGUGAUCCGGUGGUUCUGAAUGGAAGGGCCAUCGCUCAACGGAUAAAAGGUACUCCGGGGAUAACAGGCUGAUACCGCCCAAGAGUUCAUAUCGACGGCGGUGUUUGGCACCUCGAUGUCGGCUCAUCACAUCCUGGGGCUGAAGUAGGUCCCAAGGGUAUGGCUGUUCGCCAUUUAAAGUGGUACGCGAGCUGGGUUUAGAACGUCGUGAGACAGUUCGGUCCCUAUCUGCCGUGGGCGUUGGAAGAUUGAGAGGGGUUGCUCCUAGUACGAGAGGACCGGAGUGAACGCACCACUGGUGUUCGGGUUGUCAUGCCAAUGGCAUUGCCCGGUAGCUAAGUGCGGAAGAGAUAACCGCUGAAAGCAUCUAAGCGGGAAACUUGCCUCGAGAUGAGUCUUCCCUGUCGCUUUAAGCGACCUAAAGGAACGUUUAAGACUAAGACGUUGAUAGGCUGGGUGUGUAAGCGUAGCGAUACGUUGAGCUAACCAGUACUAAUGAACCGUGAGGCUUAACCUGACAACACCGAAGGUGUUU
rnacentral:rRNA from 1 species